AUGGUCUUAGCUUGCUAAGGCUGAUGGCGACCGGCGCACGGGUGAGUAACACGUAUCCAACCUGCCGUCUACUCUUGGCCAGCCUUCUGAAAGGAAGAUUAAUACAAGAUGGCAUCAUGAGUUCACAUGUUCACAUGAUUAAAGGUAUUCCGGUAGACGAUGGGGAUGCGUUCCAUUAGAUAGUAGGCGGGGUAACGGCCCACCUAGUCAACGAUGGAUAGGGGUUCUGAGAGGAAGGUCCCCCACAUUGGAACUGAGACACGGUCCAAACUCC
rnacentral:rRNA from 1 species